CCUACGGGAGGCAGCAGUGAGGAAUAUUGGUCAAUGGGCUUACGCCUGAACCAGCCAAGUCGCGUGAGGGAAGACUGCCCUAUGGGUUGUAAACCUCUUUUGUCCGGUAGCAACGCCGGCUACGUGUAGCCGGACUGAGAGUACCUGAAGCAAAAGCAUCGGCUACCUCCGUGCCAGCAGCCGCGGUAAUACGGGGGAUGCGAGCGUUAUCCGGAUUUAUUGGGUUUAAAGGGUGCGUAGGCGGAAUGCCAAGUCUGCGGUAACAUCGCGGGGCUCAACCUCGCUCCGCCGUUUAAACUGUCGUUCUUGAGUGGGCGAGAAGUAGGCGGAAGGCGUGGUGUAGCGGUGAAAUGCAUAGAUAUCACACAGAACUCCGAGUGCGAAGGCAGCAUACCAGCGCCCAACUGACGCUGAAGCACGAAAGCGUGGGUAUCGAACAGGAUUAGAUACCCGAGUAGUC
rnacentral:rRNA from 1 species